CGGGUGAGUAAUGCCUAGGAAUCUGCCUGGUAGUGGGGGACAACGUUUCGAAAGGAACGCUAAUACCGCAUACGUCCUACGGGAGAAAGCAGGGGACCUUCGGGUCUUGCGCUAUCAGAUGAGCCUAGGUCGGAUUAGCUAGUUGGUGAGGUAAUGGCUCACCAAGGCGACGAUCCGUAACUGGUCUGAGAGGAUGAUCAGUCACACUGGAACUGAGACACGGUCCAGACUCCUACGGGAGGCAGCAGCG
rnacentral:rRNA from 1 species